CCUACGGGAGGCAGCAGUGAGGAAUAUUGGUCAAUGGUCGGGAGACUGAACCAGCCAAGCCGCGUGAGGGAGGAAGGUACAGAGUAUCGUAAACCUCUUUUGUCAGGGAACAAAGGCGGGGACGUGUCCCCGGAUGAGUGUACCUGAAGAAAAAGCAUCGGCUAACUCCGUGCCAGCAGCCGCGGUAAUACGGAGGAUGCGAGCGUUAUCCGGAUUUAUUGGGUUUAACGGGUGCGCUGGCGGUCUGUUAAGUCAGCGGUCAAAGCCCGGGGCUCAACCCCGGCCCGCCGUUGAAACUGGCAGUCGCGAGUUGGAGAGAAGUAUGCGGAAUGCGCGGUGUAGCGGUGAAAUGCAUAGAUAUCGCGCAGAACUCCGAUUGCGAAGGCAGCAUGCCGGCUCCACACUGACGCUGAGGCACGAAAGCGUGGGUAUCGAACAGGAUUAGAUACCCUUGUAGUC
rnacentral:rRNA from 1 species